CUGGAAAGUAGAAAGAGGAGGGAGAUCAUCUAUGGAACUUGCAACCCCAGAAACAACAUGGUGGUGGAUGGGCUAAGCCUGAAGUGAGAUUGCCAGAUUUAUGUCCUUUCUAGAUGAAAUGUGGAUCCUUUAGCAACAGGAGGGUCUUAUGCAAAAUCCAAAAGAAG